rnacentral:rRNA from 1 species
CAAUGGCGUAUAUUGCAGUUGGUGUGAUUAAAAGGCUUGUAGUUGAAUUUCUGCAUUGGGGCGCCGGUCCGCCCUUGGGGUGAGAAUCUGGUUGUCCUGUGCAUCUUCUUGGAGAACGCUCUUGUAUUUCACUAUGUCAUUGCCGAAACAAGGACAUUUACGUUGAGGAAAGUAGAGUGUUUCAAGCAGGCUCACGCUUGAAUACAUUAGUAUGGAACAAUAAGAUAGGACCUUGGUUCUAUUUUGUUGGUUUCUAGAACUUAGGUAAUGAUUAAUAGGGACAAUUGGGGGCAUUCGUAUUAACGCGUCAGAGGUGGAAUUCUUGGAUUGCGUUACGACGAACUACUGCGAAAGCAUUUGCCAAAGAUGUUUUCAUUGAUCAAGAACGAAAGUAUGGGGAUCGAAGAUGAUCAGAUACCAU